GAUGAACGCUGGCGGCGUGCCUAAUACAUGCAAGUCGAGCGAACAGACGAGGAGCUUGCUCCUUUGACGUUAGCGGCGGACGGGUGAGUAACACGUAGGUAACCUACCUAUAAGACUGGGAUAACUUCGGGAAACCGGAGCUAAUACCGGAUAAUAUUUCGAACCGCAUGGUUCGAUAGUGAAAGAUGGCUUUGCUAUCACUUAUAGAUGGACCUGCGCCGUAUUAGCUAGUUGGUAAGGUAACGGCUUACCAAGGCAACGAUACGUAGCCGACCUGAGAGGGUGAUCGGCCACACUGGAACUGAGACACGGUACAGACUCCUACGGGAGGCAGCAGUAGGGAAUCUUCCGAAAUGGGCGAAAGCCUGACGGAGCAACGCCGCGUGAGUGAUGAAGGUCUUCGGAUCGUAAAACUCUGUUAUUAGGGAAGAACAAACGUGUAAGUAACUGUGCACGUCUUGACGGUACCUAAUCAGAAAGCCAAGGCUAACUACGUG
rnacentral:rRNA from 1 species